rnacentral:rRNA from 1 species
AUGAACGCUGGCGGCGUGCCUAAUACAUGCAAGUCGAGCGAACAGAUGAGGAGCUUGCUCCUCUGACGUUAGCGGCGGACGGGUGAGUAACACGUGGAUAACCUACCUAUAAGACUGGGAUAACUUCGGGAAACCGGAGCUAAUACCGGAUAAUAUAUUGAACCACAUGGUUCAAUAGUGAAAGACGGUUUUGCUGUCACUUAUAGAUGGAUCCGCGCCGCAUUAGCUAGUUGGUAAGGUAACGGCUUACCAAGGCAACGAUGCGUAGCCGACCUGAGAGGGUGAUCGGCCACACUGGAACUGAGACACGGUCCAGACUCCUACGGGAGGCAGCAGUAGGGAAUCUUCCGCAAUGGGCGAAAGCCUGACGGAGCAACGCCGCGUGAGUGAUGAAGGUCUUCGGAUCGUAAAACUCUGUUAUUAGGGAAGAACAAAUGUGUAAGUAACUAUGCACGUCUUGACGGUACCUAAUCAGAAAGCCACGGCUAACUACGUG